GAUGAACGCUGGCGGCGUGCCUAAUACAUGCAAGUCGAACGCAUUGAGAGAAGUGCUUGCACUUUUCAAUUUGAGUGGCGAACGGGUGAGUAACACGUGGGCAACCUACCUGAUAGCGGGGGAUAACGAGUGGAAACAUUCGCUAAUACCGCAUAACAAUAGAGAAGGCAUCUUCUUUAUUUAAAAGGCGCUUUCAAGCGUCACUAUCAGAUGGGCCCGCGGUGGAUUAGUAAGUUGGUGGGGUGAAGGCCAACCAAGACGAUGAUGCAUAGCCGGUUUGAGAGACUGGUCGGACACAUUGGGACUGAGACACGGCCCAAACGCCUACGGGAGGCUGCAGUAGGGAAUCUUCCACAAUGGACGAAAGUCUGAUGGAGCAACGCCGCGUGUGUGAUGAAGGCUUUCGGGUCGUAGAGCACUGUUGUAUGGGAAGAAAUGCUAGGCUAGGAAAUGAGCUUAGUUUGACGGUACCAUACCAGAAAGGGACGGCUAAAUACGUGCCAGCCGCCGCCGUAA
rnacentral:rRNA from 1 species